UGAGAGGGUUGUAUACGUCGUUAAUCUUCGUUUUGAUGUAUGCGACCUCCCAUCCAUCCUUCUUCUCUGCCAAACUUUCCGGUUCUGCAGGAAUCUGGGAUGUCUGUGGCUUGACGUCGAUCGAUGUUGCUUUGUUGGCGUCGACUGAUGGUGAUGUCAUAGCUUCUUUCUCAAGAAUGUGCUGCAUACUCUAAAUCUCUGUCCUCAUCUCUGCCAUACUUCUGAAACGCUCAUUGUAACCUCUGUCCAAAGGUUGAUAAGUGUCAUCUACCAAUGUAUUGAGUUCAUCUCCUAGUUUUUCCUGAGC
rnacentral:lncRNA from 1 species